UACGGAGGGUGCAAGCGUUAAUCGGAAUUACUGGGCGUAAAGCGCGCGUAGGUGGUUCGUUAAGUUGGAUGUGAAAUCCCCGGGCUCAACCUGGGAACUGCAUUCAAAACUGGCGAGCUAGAGUACGGUAGAGGGUGGUGGAAUUUCCUGUGUAGCGGUGAAAUGCGUAGAUAUAGGAAGGAACACCAGUGGCGAAGGCGACCCCCUGGACUGAUACUGACACUGAGGUGCGAAAGCGUGGGGAGCGAACAGG
rnacentral:rRNA from 1 species